UGGAACUUGGAAUAAUGAAUAUUUCAAUAUUGAAGAUUGGGAAACUGUUAAGAGGAAAGAGUGCCAGUUUACAAAAAAAGCCUUUGAAUUUGAUGUACUGGUAAGCUGUUGGCUGAAGUAUACAUAAAUUUGAAAAAUGAAACGAGCACAUUCCGACACAGAAGAUUCUGAUUCGUCAGGUAAUUCUUCCGAUUCUCUGUCGGACCAAGAGUAUGAGCCUACACCCGGGAGCCCAAAAGGUCACAAUGAUGGAGGACUCGUCGCUUCAAAAGAACUUGAUAAUUAUUUCCGAUACUUUUUGCUUUUACAACUCGCGGUUGAUGCUGUUCGAAUAUGGUUUGAUUCUGUUAUUCCACCACAGAAAUUACAUAAACACUUACGACGAUACAGGAAAAGGUCUCUAAAGAAUUGUAGUGAUG